CCGACCUUAGCUCAGUUGGUAGAGCGGAGGACUGUAGUGUUGCAGAAAAAUCCUUAGGUCGCUGGUUCGAAUCCGGCAGGUCGGA
rfam:Triticum aestivum genome assembly, contig: Triticum_aestivum_CS42_TGACv1_scaffold_513128_6BS